AACUUUUUUGAGUUAAGACGAGGAUAAACUUAAUGAAUCCAUACUGUGAGCGGAUAGGGAAACUGAUAAAAAAGCUGGCGAUAUUUUGUGCCUGACUCAACAUAUUUUUCACUGGAAGAAUUGAACACGCUUUGGCAACAAUAAGGUUUAAACGAUGACUGGAGUAAUGAACAUGCAACGCCUUCGGGUUUUUCUCUAAUAUUCUCCCAGAAAUACCUUUUACCUGGCUGGACACAGCACUAGCACCGUCAUAUCCCUGGCCUCGACAAUUUUGAAGGGAAGCCCGACAUCUUGAAGUGUACUUUGACUAAUGAACGGAAUCAAAUCCAAAGGCGAAACAGUUUGGUAUACAAAUGAAAAUGUUCUUGAAUCAUGUAAAACUUCAAAUUUAUUCAAGAAUGUAUUAAAUUAUCCAGAAAGUAUAAGCUUGGAGUUAUCAUUAAAAAGUGCCUUGCACCAGAUAUUUUCAAUAAUUAGCUAUCGAGACCAUCCUCAGUUGU
rnacentral:lncRNA from 1 species